GUUAAUGCAAUCGUUUAAAUAUUUUAUGCUAUUUUAAAUACAGAUUGCCGUUAUUUAAUUUAUUUGGCUUUUUUACAUAUGUUUGAUUUCUAAAAUUUUGUACAUAUAUUCAUAGAGAAACACAAACAUAGGCUUACAAAUGUAUUAAAGUUGUGGAUCAUCAUUAGCAUUUUUUGGACAAUAUCUCAUUUUUCACGGCUUAAUCUACACUAAUUUGAUUGUUUAACAUUUGAUUACAAAAACAAAAACUAAAUAUCAACUGUAGAUAAUUUCCUAUCUUGCAUUCAAAAGAGGACCAUCAAAAGAUGUCACCAAACACUGGGACUUUUUUUUAUAUUUGGAGCCAUGGUGGCUCAGUGUAUAAUCCUGGUGUUGGUCAAGAAAGCUCCCAGGGUUUUUGAGUGAGAUUUCUCCAUGUCACUGGUAUAGGACUGACAUUCCUUUCAGAGAUUCAGCUUAAAAAAUAUUGUUAGUUUGCAAGGGACUUAAAAUCCCUCAAAUGACACUCAGCAACUUUAAUACAAAAAUGUGUGAUGAAAUUAUUGUCAAUCUGAUGAAAAUAAGAUGUUUUCCAUUCUUGUUUCAUUUUCUUUUCUUUUGUUUUUUUCGGUAUUUUGAUGUGAUAUGGGCAUGGCAAUCAGCAACCAUCAUUACCCAUACAGUUAAAGAAAAGAUGAAAAUUCUGGAAAAAAUGUACGAGUGAAAAUUUCAAAUGUUUUUGUUAGAUCAUUAAUAAAAUGCCUCAUUAAACAUAUGAAAGUAAAUAGUCAUUUGAUUGGAAAGAUCAGAAAUUAAGUUACAACACCCAAAAAAAUCCAACGUAAUUUUAAACUCUUUAUGUCUAUUAAAAUUUUUGUUGUCUGGGUCUUCUGAGGUAGACCUCUAGAGAUGUUUUAAUUAAUUUAUGCAUGCAUAUACUGUACAUGUAUGAAGAGAUGUAAAUAAAAAUGUUUUAAGCUUU